GUUCUCUGACGUGAAACCAAGUUGCAAAGGCUUUUUCUUACUGCAGCAAGAUCCACCCUGGAAUGCCAAGAACACAGAGAGAUUACAACUGUUCAUAUUUUGGAAUUGCUGUUUUAAAAAAGCUUUCUCAAGAACAAAGAACAUACUAGAAGGUCAAAUAGUGCAGGCCUGUGGGGAGCAGGCGCUACACCAGCGAGCUUAGUAUCUGAUCUGACCAGACACCCAAAGGUCUGGCCAGGAAGAUGCCGAUACCUAAUGAACAAAGAAGGAAG
rnacentral:lncRNA from 1 species